UAAAUUUCCUUCACCAUUUCGAUUAUUUAUGUAUAGGUUUAAAAGAACAGGUUAUUUUUACCAGAAAAAAUGAGGGCAUUUUUGUCAAAAAGCGGCCAAAACAAGAUGAAGGGAUGAUAAUCGACAAGCUUAAUAAAUUGUGGGAAAGAGUUGAAUCCCUUGAAAAUCAUGAGAAUGCACUUGACUCAUUGCAGAACCUCUGGAAUUGAAAAUUGACCAUACCCUUAGCAGUGUGAUAUGAGUUUCUACCAAUUCAUGUUAUCCCUCUUUUGGUUCCUGGAUUGCUCAAUAUGCCUUCCAUGUCUAAGUUUCUUAUAUGAGAGUUUAUAUUUGUGUCCACCUAAUCUCUUUAUGUACCCGCCCUAUUUACACAUCCUCCCUAAAACAUAAAAUCUAUUAAUAUAUCCACUGAAGUAAUUUAGGUACCCUCCUUAUUCUUCUCUUCCACACUACACCUUCUUCUACCUUAUUAUCUCAUUUUUCUUCUUCUUAACAAAACCUUAAGGUGAAAUCCUAUUCUCACAUGCCUGUUUUUCACCUGAAAAGUGUUUGUAGUAAGUUCAGAGCUAAUUCUAAUCUCUUUUAUGCAUUUUAGUUUGUAUGCAUGCCCACGCGCGUGCGCACACACACAUAUAUAUACAUAUAAAUGAAGGGGUUGAGAAGAGUAUGUGGUUUUAGGGUUGGAUGGUCUUUGAAGUGUUUGGAAGUACAAUGCUAGACACUCCAAAGGUUGUUCUACCUUGAAACUGAGGACACUUUUCUCAACUUCAUUUUUAAGUUCCAAAAAGUGAAAAAAGAAAAAGAAAAAAGAAUGGUAAAAAUCAUAUUUUUGCACUUCUAGCAUCAUUGAAGAUGGUUAUUUGUUUAUCCAUUGUUCAAAAAAAAACUUUCUUCAAAGAUGUCAUUAGGGUUAUAAAGAGUAAAAGAAGAAAUGGAGGAAGAAGAAGAGGAAGAUGGGCGUAUACUAAUUUGAACGGGUGGAAGAUAAAGGUAAUAACUAGGAGAGAGAAGAGCAGAGAAGCUAGAGGAGAGGAGGAGGUUGAAAAAGCAGCAAUUUUGAAUAAGAGUACUGAGAAAGGAUUGCUGGAAUGUGCCAAGACUGGAGUUUAUGGUAACAUAUACAAUUAUCCUAUUAAAGGAUAUGAUUAAUUUCUGGUUAUGGAAGGACUGCAUACUUCUAGUUAUGAUGAAGAGCAAUUCAUCAUCAGAAGAGAGUAAAGGGAAUCAACCUUCGCUUUAAGGAAGCCUGAGAAAGAGGAAAUGGGUGCCAAAUUGUAGAAGAAAGCAAAGAUACUUCUUGAGGAUUGGGCCAAAAUUUGAUGCCUAUAAUUAUUUUUGGAAGUUUCAGAGAAAAAUCAUGGGAAUGGCUUCCCUGUGUGGAAGGAACUUGACAUUGCAGUUGGUUUUUAAAGCACCUGAAGAAUCUGAUUGGUUUACAUAUACUACUGGAGAAUGUCAUUACCUACAGGCUCCCGCUAUAAAUCUGGGCAAUGCCUUGGGUCCCUCAUCCAGGUGGAUCAUUCUCCUCAGAGCUCAGAUGAACAUGGAUUCAACCUGAAUUUCCCCUCUGAGACCUGCUGGGCAGAAGCUAAGGAGAUCUGUGGAGUGUGGACAGUAGUCUGCCUGAUGGUCAAUCUAAGACCGCUGCUGAAGGUGGCAAAGCAAAAACCAGGAGCUUGACUUUCCUGUCAAUAAUUCAUGUUCACAAGAAAUGGCAAUUAAAUAAUCCCAGAAUUGAUUUGUCCAUGGUCCUGUCUGAACCUUUCCCUGUUACUGCAAUGCUCCAGAGAUUUCAUUACACCACAUUGCAUCUAUAUUGUUGGAUAUGUUUUGUCAAUUUUCAUUGUCUCUCUCAUGUGGAUUUAUAAUUGAGACUGAUACUGAACAAAAGUUGUACAUUGUAUGCAGGGAUUUUGCUUGCAUAAAGAAACAAACAAUUAAGUGUCUUAAGAAUUACGAUGGACUCCAUUACAGGUGAGAAACCACAAGCUUCUGCCCUGCACCACUCUUUUAGACAGCAGGUAAAGAUGUGCAGUGUUGGCUUGGAUUUUAUGCAUGAGAGUAAACUCCGCUGAUUCAUAAUGAAUACGAGUGGAAGGUGUAAAGUCACCCUGUGGAAUCCAAGACAGUGUCGAGGCUAUGAGUACAAAGCCCAUUAUUAUGUAGCUCUUCUGUAAUCCGGAUGAACAUCAUCUCUUGCAAGUUGCAACAUAUGUUUAUUACAAUGCUGUAAGCUUUUUUAAAUCUUGAGCAGCUGCACACGUCUUUUGGGUGUUUGUCAUAAGUUGAUACCCAAAGGAAGUGGGAUCUCUAUGGACAUCUCCAAUGUGUUUGUUGGUGAUUUUCUUGAUGAUCAAAUAUAAGUUUGAUUCAAACAA